CAAGAUCCAGAGGCAUCUUCAGAGAAGGGGCCUGUAACAUGUGAAGGAAACGGGAAGUUGCAGUAAACAUGACAAUACAGUGCAACUGUUUUACUAGUUUGUGGACAGAAAUUAAAUUGUGUUUGAAAUAGGGAACAAAUUAAAGUGAUGGAGGGAGUUAAAGCAUAAGAUCCUAUGGAAGUCACUUUCACUUUAUAUCCAUUAGGAAAGGUUACAAGAUAAGGCACAAGUAAAGGUGUGAUAUUAAAGAGUAAGUUCUUAUUAGAUGUCAUAUGAUCAGAAGCCCCUGAAUCUAUUAUCCAGGAGACAGAAGCAAUAAGAGACAGAAGUAAUAUUAGUAAGUAGACAGAGUUUGGAAUCAGAAACAGGGCUCUCAGUAGUACCAGCAAAGUUGGAAGCACACAUAGGAGGAGAGGUCUGAGCAGGAGAAAUCUGAGCAGUGGAGUCACCCAAUUUGGACUGUUGCAGCAGAUUCAUCAAUUGGUCAUAAUGUUGCCUGCUCAAUCCAGGGAUUACAGAACCAUGUCCAUCCACAUGUGGGACAGAUGAAUUACCCUCAAUGUGAUUUCCAGAAGCAUGAGAAUUGUGUCCAUCAGAAGAAGGGAAAGAGGUGAAAUCAACACCAAUGGUUACAUGGGCAGCAGUAGUUCUCUUCCCUUUGUUAAACCUGGUGCUUUGUGGAAAUCCAUGAAGUUUGUAACACUUAUCAAUUAAAUGCCCAGACUUCUUGCAAUAUCUACAAAACAGAGGUCCUCUGGAUUGGUCAAAAGUAACUCUCUGGGCAUACUGUCUGAGAGGAGAAGAGUUGGGCACUGCAACUUGACUGAAAGAAGGUGUAGAAGUUUUGUUUGUGUUGACACUGAAGGACAUAGAGUCGGGAUUGAACUGGGAAAUAGACUGAACUUGUCUUUAUUUUUCAUCAUUGAGGAGAAUUCUAUAGACACUGUCAAGACUAGGAGGAGGCGAGAAGGUGUAGAAGUUCUGUUUGUGUUCACACUGAAUGACAUAGAGUCAGGAUUGAACUGGGAAAUAGAUUGAACUUGUCUUUGUUUUUCAUCAUUGAGGAGAAUAUUAUAGACACUGUCAAGACUAGGAGGAGGCUGCAUCAUCAUCAAGUUGCUCCUUACCCCCAUAUAUGUCUCAUUAAGGCCCAUGAGGAAUUGAAACACCUUAUUCUCCUCAUCCUCCUUUAUGAUGCCAGGUUUGGCAGCACAAAUACAUCUUUGACCAUGAUUUGUGCAUACUACCCCUAACUCAUCCCAUAACCCUUUGAGUUUGUUAAAAUAGGAUGCUAUAUCUAGAGAUCCUUGAGAAGAAUGAGAGAGUUCUCUUUUAAGUUCAAAAAUUUUGUUCCUAUUGGCUGUGCCAUAUCUGGCUUCGAG
rnacentral:lncRNA from 1 species